ensembl:lncRNA
UCCUCUGUGCUUGUUUCAGCUCGGGUCGGCCCCAAAGAGGCGGGUCUUAGAAGCAGCUAGCCAAUCACUGAUACAGUUAAUGAAUGACGUUAUAAUUUCAGUGCCCUAAAAUACAUUGACAUUUGGGCCCUUCGCCGCCGCGCCGUUUAACGACAUCACGAGAGCGACCAGAACCCGAGAGGAACGAGAGGAGAACAGCUGGACGCACGCAGGACUGCGAAACGAGCGACCAGCGAUGAAACUGCAGCUCUGUGACCAAAUGGAGACAACGAGAGGAGGGAAGCGGGUCGUACGGAGGUCGCUGCGCCUUCGCCACGUGUGGAAGCGACCCGCGCUAAUGAUCAGAACCCCCGCGGGUGUUUGGGCCGUUCCCAGGGGGGACAGGGACACAGGGAUCUGGGUUCUCCCGGCGGUCUUUGUUGGCUCUCCGUGGAAACACAAUCUCUCUGCGCCCACAUCUCCAUCCGGCCCCAGGAACCCGAUCCCACGGGCCGCAUUCCUGCCGACAUCAGAAUCCACUAAAUCUAACAGAAGUUUCGGGUGA